rnacentral:lncRNA from 1 species
UCUUCCUCUUUUUCAAAAUAACAAUAAAUACAAUUAAAAAAUAAAUAAGUAAAUAUCUUUAAUUUAAAAUAAAUUGAAAUCAUAUACAAAUAAUUCCUCAACACACGCUCGAAGACUCAAACCUAUAACCUCAAGGUAUACUUGUAACAGCCCUUAACCCUUAUUCGUCGCUGGAACAAGGUUACGGAGCAUUACCAGACAUUUCAGAACAAAUACGAACAAUUAUAUUGUAAAUACUAUAAAUAUACAAUAAAAUAAUUUAUAGCUAAAUCAUUUAUAACACAUUCACUUACGAUCAAUUGCUAUCCCAGAUAGCUUUUCACAAUGUCAACAAAUAUCACUUGAACCAUAAUAUUUGUUAUUUGUAUUCAAUUCACAAAUUCUCGAUUCUUACAUUUCUAUCCAUAUUUCAUUUCAUUAUUCAAUAUCAUUCAUAUCAAUCAAAUUUUCCAAUUCAUUAUAUACCCCUAUAGACACGACUCGAACUAGAAUGGAUACACGGAUCCAACCAAAACACACCAGUGUGGCACCCAGUGCCUCAUCGGAUAAUUCGAAGUAAUAGAUUGACACCCAGUGUCUCGUCGGCCUUGCCGAAG